AUGGCGGCCGGGGUGAAGAAAUGCUUGCGUGCGUCGAGGAUGUCGUACAGGUUGAGAGUCCUGGGAGUUAGCAUUUUGAGGGUGCCGAUGUUCCUGCCGCUCAGCCGCACGUUAUUAUCAAGCUCCGUGGAGAAGAACAUGGCCUUCUCCCUGGGGUCGAGCCCCCACCGCUGCAGCGCGGCCACGAAGUCCCUGGUCCGGGGGCCCGUCGCGAACUCCUCGUCGAACUCCUGGACGACGAAGGAGUCGUUGGCGACGGCGGCGCUGGCGAGCGCGGUGGAGAUGGCGAGGCGCUUCUCCUUGCGGUUGAUCUUGAUGGUCCAGUCCCGGGGCUUGGGGCCGAAGAUGACUCCACCGCCGGGGCGGAGCGGCGUACGGACCGACCCGCGCCGCGCCUUCCCGGUCUUCUUCUGGCCGUAUGGCUUCCUCCCGCCGCCCCGGACCUCCCCGCGGGUGAGGGUGGAGGGCGGCGCGGCCUUGAUGUCCAGGGCGACCUCCCCGACCUUCUCCCCGGUGAAGUUGAUGACCGGGAGGGUGGUGGCCUCGGCCCGCAGCGCGCGGAGGAUGGAGGCGGACGGCCUCCCCCUGACGGAGGCGUGCGGGAAGGAGGAGGAGGAGGAGGGGGAGGGGAGGAAGGAGACAGAGGAGGAGGAGAGGAAGGAGGAGGAAGAGGCGGAGAGCGAGAGCAGGAGGGGCGAGGCCACGGAGGAGACCGGCAUUGUGGCGGCUCUACGGCGGCUGCGCUGCGCUGGGGGCGGACGGAGAAGGGGGAGGAGAUGGCUCUGCCGCUGCAGCUGCCGCUUCUAUCUCUUUAUCCACACCACACCCGUUCGGCAGGAGUGUCUCCGUCCGUCGCGCACUGUCGACUGCGUCUUUUGA
rnacentral:rRNA from 1 species